rnacentral:misc_RNA from 1 species
GAUUUUUUAGCCACCGGAGGAAUGCAGUUUACCUCUGGUGGUGUAGAGGAAGUCAAAGAUACAAAACUAGAAAGUUUAAUGAUGGAGAAAAUGUUCCCAAAACGGGAAGAAUAUCAGUGGCGUCCUGCUCCUAUUCUGUGCAAGCGGUUUGAUCUCAUUGAUCCCUACAUGGGAAAGCCACCACCAGCUCCUAGGACGAGGAGCAAGUUGGAUACACUUAUUU